UUUAAUCUUUACAACUCUAUAAAGUAGAUACUGUUAUCCCCAUCUUACCAAUGGAGAACUGAGAAAGGGGGGUUAAUUGGCUGAGGUCAUACAAGAUAAAUGGUAUAGGUUUGACCUCAGGCAAUCUGACUUUCGAGCUUGUGUGUUUAACCAUUACACUACUCCAUCUUCACUCCUUCAUAGUCAAGGUAAGGGCAAUGAAUGCUCUGCAGAGAGAAGGGACUUGGCUUGAAUUUUAUCCAUCAAAUUAACUAAGGCAACUCAUUUACAUUAUGUCUUCCAUGUUUCUCGAGGACAAGUGAAGCUCAGGGUAUUAAAUAAUGGCUGUUAAAAAAGUAUUAAACGGAGGUUAUUAAAUGAGUAAAUGAGUAUUAAAUAAAGGCUAUUAAAAAGUAUUCAAAAAUAUAAGGAUGCCAAAAGGAAGUCCCUUCAUUCAGCCUCACGAGUAGUUCUAGGGUUCAAGGAAGUUAAGAAUCACUGCUCAAAGUCAGGCUAUUUCCACAGGAAAAUGAAAAGUCUUCACAGCUUACUUUCUUUAAUUACAUCAUAAAACAAAAUUAGAACAUACAAGAAACAAUAAUAGUUACAUAACAAUUUACUUUAUAUAUUUAUAUAUAAAAAACUUUUUUUUUUUUUUUUUAGUCCAAAGAUUUUUAAAGCAAAAGGAAUCCUCUACUGCCACCUCGGAUUUUAUUUAUUUUAAAUAAUCCCCCUCCCCCCAUCCUCAAGCGCCAAAAGUACUGGGUGGAAACAGUCACUUGGAGAGCUAAUGGAACCUGGUGCUAAGUCACCCCGUAGGCAACUGUGUCGGCUCCAGAGAUUGGCUAAGCAUUUGGAGCAGGCCUAGUGGAGAAACAAGCAAGCAGCAGCUCUCACACACUGCAGCACUCCAGGGUAGGCCCUAAGGCUUGGGAAGGAGGGAAUCAGACCCUUCAGGUCAACCACCUCUGCAUUUUACCCCCUCAGGGGAGUGAGUGGGGGUGCGGGGUGCAGGGAUGAAACAGAGCCUGGUAUGAAGAUAAAAAUGUCUCCAACAGCACCAUUUACCCAUCCAUCUCUGUCCCUGAGCAGAGUCUGACAGGCAUGGGUAGUCCUCACAGUUCUCUGAGCUCUGCACAGGCCACAUUAUUCGGAUCUGUACUCUCAGGGUCACGGGAAGGUGGGCAAAGGUGAGCAGAGCAGCUGAGAAGUGCACAUGGUAGGUUACCUGGAAACAAUUCCUAGGAGAAAAAAGGAGGAGGCCAGAGUAGGAAGCAUCUGAAGGCCAAGUCAUAAAACAGGAAUGGAGAAAAACAAAAUUAAGAAAUGCAAAAUUAAGAAGGCCGCUCUCCUCUUACAGUCAACCUUUGGAGUGGGUAGUCACAGAUACUCAGGGCUCCAAGAGCCACACCAUGGUGAGAAAGGACAUGGGUAGCUUCUGAGGAGCAUGGUCUCGUGGAUCUUGUGUAUGUGCCAACAGGCUGUAAGGGUUAGAAGUUAGUGUGUAAUUUGGAAGUAGGGUGAGGAGGGGAGUGAGAAGAAAUCAAAAGCUCAUCCCUUCCUGCACUAUUAGAAAUUAACAGUCAUCAGAGAAGCACAGAUAAAUUAUUCUUAAGGGCAGGAAAAAACUAAUGUAAACCCAGGAAAGCAGCAGCAAAGGUUUCACUUACUAAAAAUCUAUUAUAUAGGAAAGAAAAUUAUUUGUCCACAGGGGAAAAAAGUAAUCAAAUCAUGCCAGUUAGAGACUUUUUCAAGUUAAGAUUUUCUAAGACCUUAGGUUUUCAUUCUCUAGUGCCAUAAAAAAGGAAAAGAAAAAAAAAGAGUAGAAUAAUGACUUCAAGGCCUGAGAAGGUUCAGGCUAAGGUAAGAAACAUAUAUGUGUGAGCAGCAAUGAGGUACAGAUCUGAAUUAAUGAGAUAAUGGCAAGAGAAACUUAGUGAAGCAAAGUUUUCUUUUCUUUUCUCUUUUUUGUGAGAUGGAGUCUCACUCCGUUGCCCAGGCUGGAGUGCAACUCUGUCUCAAAAAUAAAUAAAUAAAUAAAUACAACAGGUAGAUGUGACUUGAGGGGGAAGCUGCAGAAGCCCAUCAUGCAAGAAACUCACUUGCCUCUUAUGGUACUUUCAGGCAGGUAGAAUGUUUAUCCUGGGCUGGGCGCAGUGGCUCACGCCUGUAAUCCUAGCAUGUUGGGAGGCUGAGGUGGGCAGAUCACCUGAGGUUGGGAGUUUGAAACCAGCCUGACCAACAUGGUGAAACCCCGUCUCUACUAAAAAUACAAAUUUUGCCGGGCGUGGUGGCACAGGCUGUAAUUCCAGCUACUCGGGAGGCUAAGGGAGGAGAAUCGCUUGAACCCAAGAGGCGGAGGUUGCGGUGAGCCGAGAUCUCACUAUUGCACUCCAGCCUGGGCAACAAGAAAAAAAAAAAAAGUUUAUCCCAAGUGAGAAGGCAAGGUUAGUAACCUAGUAACCUAUGUUCUUUGCUGGAGAAUCAAAAUGUCAAGUUAGGGCACUCGGAUACAACCCAAUUUUAUUCCUAAACUACCUGGGCUAAUUAUACCCUACUGGUAUGAUUUUAUACAGCUCUCUGUAUCUUCCAAUCUUACAUUUAAAAUUUAUGAUAGAAACUGGCCAGGUGCGGUGGCUUACACCUGUAAUCCCAGCACUUUGGGAGGCCAAGGCAGGUGGACCACUUGAGGUCAGAAGUUCGAGACUAGCCUGGCCAACAUGGCAAAACCCCAUCUCUAUGAAAAAUACAAACAUUAGCUGGGCGUGGUGGUGGGCACCUGUAAUCCUGGCCUCUUGGGAGGCUGAAACAGAAGAAUCACUUGAACCCAGGAGGCAGAGGUUGCAGUGAACUGAGAUUGUGCCAUGGCACUCCAACCUGGGUGACAGAGCGAGACUCCAUGUCAAAAAAAAAAAAAAAAAAAAGAAAUAUAGGCGAGGAAAGGCUGUGACUCCAUUUUUCCCCAUUAUCCUUUUACUGCUUUAGAAUUCUUUGGUACAACAUCAUUAAUGGGGAGAGAGGUUCUGUCUCAAGAAUUCCAACCAAACAUCCUACAUUUCUUCUCAAACAGGACUUGGCUAAUUCACAGUGCCUGGGUUUGAGGUGGCUAAAGAUUCUAGGAUUGGCAGGCAGAUAGAGAGGCAAUCUUUUUGUAAAAUGCUUCAGAGCUCAAACAUAUGAUUGAGAAAGUCUGUCAGCCAGGAGAUACAACCAGGAUAAAAGCCUACCCUUAAAUCAUACACAUAAGGAGGAAUAAGGCAAAAUAGAGCAAUUUCCUUUAAACCCCUCCUCUCACUGGUAGCAACUGGCAUGAGCCGCCUGUGACUUUCAGCACAAUAAACAUAAAAUGGCCAAGGGUCACCCAUGACCCAUGAGUGCUCUUCUCCCAACAACACAGUCACCUAAGGACAUGCUGACUAAACAAGCAGGCAGGAAGCCACUCUCUUCUUUCCAGUGACACUCUCACACUUUCUAACAACUUCAAACCAAGACAGGUUUCAUCACAUAUUUUGUUUAGUCCCCCAUGGCAUUAGUGGGCUAUCAAACUAGUAACGAUGCAUUUUUUUCUUUCUUUCUUUCUUUUUUUUUGAGAUAGUCUCACUCUGUCGCCCAGGGUGGAGUGCAGUGGUGCGAUCUCAGCUCACUGCAACCUCCACCUCCCGGGUUCAAGCAAUUCUCUGCCUCAGCCUCCCGAGUAGCUGGGAUUACAGGCACCUGCCACCACACCUGGCUAAUUUUUGUAUUUUCAGUAGAGACAGCAUUUCACCAUCUUGGCCAGGCUGUUCUUGAACUCCUGACCUUGUGAUCCACCCACCGUGCCGGGCCAUAACAAUGCAUUUUACAAGGCAAUUAGAAGUAAUAAAAGAAUGUCGCUACUAAAACAUUAUGGCUAUCUUGAAUAACUCAAAUAGUCUGGAAAGCCCAAAAUGAAGCAUCAUAAAUUUACUAGGUUUCCCUAUAAAAUGUUUGAUACAAGGGAUAUGUGAAACUUCUGACUUACAUGUCUGCUAAAUCAACUUAAUGAAUGUGGAAAUCAGACUAGAAAUUUGCAAAAGCUACUUAAGGAAUACUUUUACCUUCAGUAAAGACAAGAGCAGAAUAGGAGAAGAAAACAUUUUUUACACAAAGCACAAUAUGCUUUCAUAUUCCAAAUAUUGGAAAAAGGGCUAAGGCCAUAUCCCUUUCUUCCUCAUAUCCAACAGUUUGCUUUUAAACUGAAUUCAAAUUCAGUAUGCAAACACCAAAGACCACCCAAUGAAAAAUGGCCUGAGCCACCUAACAGUCACUGAACUUUAAGGCUGCCUUUGACAGCCCCUGGAGUAGGAGAAGGAUUCAAAAAGGAAGCUAGACUUGAGACAUCUGAGAGUAAAUCAGCAGCAUUACUGAGGGUGAGAUGGAGGCUUUAAAUAGAGGGAAAGGAUGGGUGUGGGAAGGAAAUGGUGGAAAUCAGUGCAAAAAUAAGCUGGAGUCAGCUCAAUGGGGCUGAUGAAGAGGAUGAAAAGACAUUGAUGUAGCAAAUGAUGCUGGAAGAUGUAAGGUAUGAGAUUAGGGGAAAAACUGCUUAGAAAAGAGAUGAUUUGGAUGUUCAAGAACUUUCUCCAGAGACACUACAGUAAUUCCUCCUUGCCCACCUGUAGGUUUACGGCAGUAGUUUUGAGGGUACCUUCUAACUUAUCCCCAAAUCUCUUCUCUCUGUUCACUGUUUUUUUCCAUUAUAAAAGGCAUAUUUUGGAGUGGCUAUGAGGUUAGACAAACAGAUCAAUUAGCUUUUCCUGUAAAGAAUUUUUCCUACAUUAAGCCUUACUGAAUUUUCAAAAGUAUCCCAGAUGUUGAGAGAGGAAGCAUUAUGUUCAGAUGUCAGGCUCCUUUCCACCUGACCAAAACUUACCAUGCUUUGUGUUCUCUCAAAGUCCUAGCAUAUUCAUCAGCUGGUGUAGGCUGCAAAUCAGCAUAAAAAAAUGUAUUUCCUUCCAAGCUUGAUAGGCCUGAAGUUUUCUUGAGAAAGGAACAAGGCUUCUGCCUGACAACAUACAAGCCAGUGCUGCACAUCUCUGAGUCUUCAUUCUCUCUCACUUGACUCUGUUCUUGGCACAAACAGGCUGGAAUUUGCCUUAAUAGCAGAGAUCACCAGAGCAAGUCCCCAUGGACCUGCCUGUGGGUAUAUCCUUUGAGCAGAGAAACAGCAUUUCCAAGAUCAUCAUGAACUGAUGAAUAGAGUCUUUUAAACUUAUCUUUUAAGUAAAGAAGUACCUUAAUAGCCUCAACUUAGGCAACUCAAAUCCACACUCACUAAUCAAUCUGGGUUUUAUGGUCAAUUUGUACAGGCACUAAAACAACAACAAAACACCUUAAACUUUAAAGCAGAUGGCCCCUAAAUAGUUCUCUCCUUUAGUUUUGUUUGAGUAACCUAGGGAUCUGAAUAUUAUUAACCACAUCUGGAAGUAUGUGUGUAUGCACGUAUGUAUUUUUAUGUGUAGGGGUACAGACAAGAAACUGAGUUUCAUGUUAAAAACUAUAUUCCUUAUAAGGUAAUCUGAAAGAGAAUAAGGGGAAAGGGGAAUGAAUAAACAAGUAAUCUGCGUUUUUAAAGCGGCACAAUAAAACAGGAUUUAAAAUAAAUUUAAUAUGAUAAAUAUUAAUGGAUAGUAUAGACUUCUAAGACCCUUUCAUCCAAUUGCCUUCUAAAUCAAUGGAUAAAUAAAUCAGACUUUAUUCUUAUAUAUGCUGGUAUAAUCAGCAACUGCAGCAUUAAAACAAACCUCUUAAGCUGGGUACAGUGGCACACACCUGUAGUCCCAGCUACUUGGGAGGCUGAGGUGGGAGGAAGGCUUGAGCCCAGGAGUUUGAGUCCAGGCUGGGCAAGAUAGCGAGACCCCAUCUCUAAAAAAAUAAAAUAAAAUAAAAUAAAUAAAUAAAACAAGCCUUUUAAUAGUCUGGAUCAUAUAGAAGAUUAAUAUUAUGAUGGAUUGCACAUUAAUGUCUCAAAGGACACCCCCCGCCAAAAUCACCCUACUAAAAAUCACACUGGGUUUCUAAUCUUGGGGUUUAGAAAUUUUCUUCUUAUGCUUUAAAAACUCAUUUUACUUCCUUUAUCCUCUGAUUUUUUGGGAAGACAGAGGGUGCUUCUUCUUGGACUCUUGAGUCCUGGACACUAAAUUCCUCCCUCAGUUCUAGUGCCCAGGCUAAGCAGAGACACUAAACCCCUUACUUCCUCUCAGUGUUCUCUUUCAGCUGCCUCAAUGCUUCACCUGGCUACAUUCAUACUUCAUUCAGAAGUCUGAACAGGGCCGGGCAUGGUGGCUCAUGCCUGUAGUCCCAGCACUUUGGGAGGCUGAGGCAGGUGGAUCAUUUGAGGUCAGGAGUUCAAGACCAGGCUGGCCAACAUGUGAAACCCCAUCUCUACUAAAAAUACAAAAAUUAGCCAGGCAGUAGUGGUGCAUGCCUGUAAUCCCAGCUACUCGGUAGGCUGAGGCAAGAGAAUCGCUUGAGCCUGGGAAGUGGAGGUUGCGGUGAGCCGAGAUCGCACCACUGCACUCCAGUCUGGGCAAGAGUGAGAACCCGUCUUAAAAAAAAAAAAAAAAAAAAAAAAAGACUGGGGCAGAAAAGAGAGAUGACUGACAGGUUAUGGGAAGGUUCUGGCCCUUUGGGGUGCCAACACUAGAUAUGAAUCCAUUAACACUGACAUACAAUUGACCAGCUGUUAUAGAGCCAUUCUUGUAUCCCUGAAAGGCUGAAAUGGGGGAAAAGAGAGAAACAGACUGGCUAGAAUACACAGCUCCUCUAGUGGCAUUCCUGUUAAAACAACCUCAUAGGUCAGAGAUGCCACUGAUCACUCCUAGAUUUCAGUAAAUAUAUAAUAACAUUAAUCAUUAAUGUCUGAACUUGGGUGUUGGGGACUUUCAGGCUCUGUUUUGUGAUUUAUCAUUUUCACUCUUUCCUAAUAAUACAUCUCUCUCUUUCCUUAUGAUACAGUUGGUGGAGUCUGACAGAAGGAAGAAUAUGUAGGGGGAAUAUUGGGGAUACCAUGCGAAUUAUCACAUAUCAGAAGAUAAAAUAGAAACCAAAAGGUAGCAUCUGUUUUCAUCAAAACAGUUUCUUCUCAUAACUUUUCUUGCUUUCAUUAGAGUUUCCUUGCAGGUUGGCAAAGAUUCAGGCAGGGUCCCCUAAUGGUAAAAUUUAGAAUUAAAAAAAUAUUUAUUGAUAAUAUCUUUUUAAAAAAUGUUUGGUAAUCCCAACUAAUCAUUCAAAAUGCAAACUGUAAACACGACAACAGCAAAAGGGUAACAAUUGAGUGAGUAAGCAGACUGAACAGGUGACAGACUGAGCAAGAGUGUGGGGGGGAGCAACAGAGAAUGUAAGACAGGUGCACAAGUGUGCUACAGACAGUGAUAAUUUGAGUGUGUAAGAAUUACAUUUGGACCACAGUGAUUUCAAGGCAACCAUUUAGGAAACCUCUGGGCCAAAUACUAAAACACAGGAGGAAUGGACGAGCCUUCUUUGUGAGCAUGCUCAGCAUGUUGGCAUGGAAACAAGGAAGCAUAGAAGCUCUUUAGUCACAAUGAAUGUCUACCAUUUCUAAGAUGCAAAGAAAUUUUCUUUCUGGUCCCUGGGUACAUCAUAUAUUGUCUUUCCAUGCUUUUCUUGACCCCGGAGGACAGCAGAUGCUGUUCUAAAAUCCCCAAAGAAACCCCUAGACAAAAAUUUAAAAACCACAGUAGCAUUAACACGGGGUUUGCUGGAAUGCCCCUCCCUAUCUUGGCCUAUGAUUUUCUUAUGGGCACCUCAACAGGAAUGGUUAAAUUUUACCAAUCUACUUGAUAAAAAAGCCAUCACAAACUUCAGUCCCAUGGUCACAAAGCUAGAGUGGAUGGGGGUAAGGGUGUGUAUGUGUAUGUAUGUGUGGCUCUGGGGAUCUGGACACUGCCCUCCCUCACUUUGUAACCCUUGCUCAGAACACUGGGGUUGCUUCCACUGGAGAGACUCCACGGUAGCUCUAGAAGUGUCAUUAAAUACUCAGUUCGCCAAGGUUGACCACCUCCAUUGUCAUAGG
rnacentral:lncRNA from 1 species